rnacentral:rRNA from 1 species
UACGAAGGGUGCAAGCGUUACUCGGAAUUACUGGGCGUAAAGCGUGCGUAGGUGGUGCGUUAAGUCUGUCGUGAAAGCCCCGGGCUCAACCUGGGAAUGGCGAUGGAUACUGGCGCGCUAGAGUGCAGAAGGGGCAACUGGAAUUCUCGGUGUAGCGGUGAAAUGCGUAGAUAUCGAGAGGAACACCUGCGGCGAAGGCGGGUUGCUGGGCUGACACUGACGCUGAGGCGCGAAAGCUAGGGGAGCGAACGGG